CGGAGUGUGGCUCAGUCUGGUAGAGCACUACGUUCGGGACGUAGGGGUCGUAGGUUCGAAUCCUAUCACUCCGACCA
rnacentral:tRNA from 8 species